GACAGAGGGUGCAAACGUUGUUCGGAAUUACUGGGCGUAAAGCGCGUGUAGGCUGCUUCGCAAGUCGGGUGUGAAAGCCCUGGGCUCAACCUAGGAAGUGCACUCGAAACUGCGAAGCUUGAGUCCUGGAGAGGAAGGCGGAAUUCUCGGUGUAGAGGUGAAAUUCGUAGAUAUCGAGAGGAACACCGGUGGCGAAGGCGGCCUUCUGGACAGUGACUGACGCUCAUGCACGAAAGCGUGGGGAGCAAACAGG
rnacentral:rRNA from 1 species